CUCCGUAACUUCGGGAGAAGGAGUACUCAUAUGGGAAAAACUUAAACAUAUGAGUGGCACAGAGCAGGGAGGAGCAACUGUUUAACAAAAACACAGGAUUCUGCAAAAUUGUAAAGAUGAUGUAUUGAAUCUGACGCCUGCCCGGCGCUGGUGUAGCUAAAUAGGCGGUGGGCUUAAAUGCUCGUCGUUUUAUACCCUCCUAGCAAGCGGCGGCCUUAACUCUGAGGGUCCUAAGGUAGCAAAACUCCUUGGCAGUUAAUUACUGUCCUGCAUGAAUGGCGUAAUGACUCCUCUACUGUCUCCAACAUUCGCCCAGCGAAAUUGACAUUUCUGUGAACAUGCAGAGUACUAACAGGUAGACGGAAAGACCCUAUGAACCUUUACUGCUCGCACUUACCGAGAGUGCUUUGUGGUUCGUGUAGAAUAAGUGGGAGCUUAUCAUGGAUUGGCAGCAAUGAAAUACCACUCAUACUACAGGCAGUCUCCAGGUACCGGAUAUGCGCGUAUGCACCAGUACUAGAUGUUUGUGCAAGGCAGUUUGGCUGGGGUGGCGGCCUGCAAAAAAGUAACGGAGGUGCACAAAGGUAGACUUCGAUCUUUCUAAUAUAGAUUCGAAAGCGUAAUGGCACAAGUCUGCCUGACUGUGAGAUUGACAGAUCGAGCAGGGACUGGUUUAUGGCUAUUAUACCCGUAUUUUUGGCAGAUGCCUCAGUGUCUUGGCUCGUAUACGGCAUGAUAGUGUACAGUCGGUCAUAGUGAUCCGGUAGCCCAGAGUGGAAUGGCUAUCGCUCAACGGAUAAAAGGUACUCUAGGGAUAACAGGCUUAUAACCCCCCGGAGUCCUAAUCUACGGGGUUGUUUGGUACUUCGAUGUUGGCUCAUCACAUCCUGGUGCUGAAGGUGGUUCCAAGGGUAUAGCUGUUCGCUAUUGAAAGUGGUACGUGAGCUGAGUUCAGAACGUCGUGAGACAGUUCGGUCCCUAUCUUCUGUGGGCGUACGAUAUUUGAGAGGAGCUUUUCUUAGUACGAGAGGACCGGAAAGGACGUACCUCUGGUGUACCAGUUGUUCCGCCAGGAGCAUCGCUGGGUAGCCAUGUACGGAACGGAUAACCGCUGAAAGCAUCUAAGCGGGAAGCCAGCCUCAAGAAUAGAUAUCGCGUGGGGGUUUCCCCCCUGAAGGGUCCUUGAAGACUACAAGGUCGAUAGGUCACAGAUGUAAGUCCAGUAAUGGAUUCAGUCGAGUGAUACUAAUAACCCGUGCGGCUUGAUACU
rnacentral:rRNA from 1 species